UACGGAGGGAGCUAGCGUUGUUCGGAAUUACUGGGCGUAAAGCGCGCGUAGGCGGCUUUGUAAGUUAGAGGUGAAAGCCCGGGGCUCAACCCCGGAACUGCCUUUAAGACUGCAUCGCUUGAAUCCAGGAGAGGUGAGUGGAAUUCCGAGUGUAGAGGUGAAAUUCGUAGAUAUUCGGAAGAACACCAGUGGCGAAGGCGGCUCACUGGACUGGUAUUGACGCUGAUGUGCGAAACGUGGGGAGCAAACAGGG
rnacentral:rRNA from 1 species